rnacentral:rRNA from 1 species
ACGAACGCUUGCGGCGUGCUUAACACAUGCAAGUCGAACGGAAAGGCCCUGCUUUUGUGGGGUGCUCGAGUGGCGAACGGGUGAGUAACACGUGAGUAACCUGCCCUUGACUUUGGGAUAACUUCAUGAAACUGGGGCUAAUACCGGAUAGGAGCUCCUGCUGCAUGGUGGGGGUUGGAAAGUUUCGGCGGUUGGGGAUGGACUCGCGGCUUAUCAGCUUGUUGGUGGGGUAGUGGCUUACCAAGGCUUUGACGGGUAGCCGGCCUGAGAGGGUGACCGGCCACAUUGGGACUGCGAUACGGCCCAGACUACUACGGGAGGCAGCAGUGGGGAAUAUUGCACAAUGGGCGGAAGCCUGAUGCAGCAACGCCGCGUGCGGGAUGACGGCCUUCGGGUUGUAAACCGCUUUCGCCUGUGACGAAGCGUGAGUGACGGUAAUGGGUAAAGAAGCACCGGCUAACUACGUG